AAAGAGAGGCGUCAAUCAAAAAGGAGGAGGGGUGGACAUUUUCUGUUUCCUCCCGGAGAUGCAAUGAUGGCUCAGAUGCUUCAAUUGAAUUGCGAUGUAUAGAUGCUAGUGUGUGCGGCUCUGAGGCUAAUGACUGUAUACAAUAAAUCUUCUUGUAACUACCACCACUAUGUGCUGUUUAUCUAUGCCAGUAGCCUGCCAGCUUGAAGCAUCUCCACUCUUCACAUCAGAUGGCCAGGAAAGAGUUGGGAUGUCGGAAGAGCAAGGAGCAGCUGGAGGCACGCUGAGGGGGGCAGGGGUGACGGGCACUGAAGCUGACCCCUAUCAGGAACUGAUCUUCUAGUCCUAUGCAGAAUGCCAAAGGGAUUUGCUGGCAGGUGACAGAAUACAUCACACUGGAAGAUAAGCAGGUGGAUUGACCUUUGGUGUUGCGGCCUACAUUAUUAGGUGUUGCAAUAGCAGUGCCCUAGUAAAUGUAGGAAGAGAGUUAGCAUAUAGGUUUGUUUAUGUUUGUCUCUAUUAUGUGGCUUUUUGAGUAGUUUAGACAUGUGGUUUGCUGUAGCCUUCACUAACUCUGUCACUCGUUAAUAAACCCACAUGGCUUGA